rnacentral:rRNA from 1 species
AUCAUGGCUCAGGAUGAACGCUAGCGGUGUGCCUAAUGCAUGCAAGUCGAACGGGAUCCUUUGGAUUCGUCUGAAGGUGAGAGUGGCGAACGGGUGAGUAACACGUUGGUGACCUGCCCCAGAGAGGGGGAUAACUAUUGGAAACGAUAGCUAAUACCCCGGAUGUUAUUGAGUUUAGAAAUCAAUGACUAAAGCUCCGGCGCUCUGGGAGGGGCCUGCGUCCCAUCAGCUAGUUGGUAAGGUAAUGGCUUACCAAGGCAAAGACGGGUAGGGGGCGUGAGAGCGUGACCCCCCACACUGGUACUGAAACACGGACCAGAUACCUACGGGUAGCAGCAGCAAGGAAUAUUGCGCAAUGGGCGAAAGCCUGACGCAGCAACACCGCGUGGAGGAUGAAGGCCUUCGGGUUGUAAACUCCUUUUCUAAGGGAAGAAAAAGGACGGUACCUUAGGAAUAAGGCCCGGCUAACUACGUGCCAGCAGCCGCGGUAAAACGUAGGGGUCGAGCGUUAUCCGGAUUUACUGGGCGUAAAGAGCAUGUAGGCGGCGAUUUAAGUCGGACGUGAAAGCUCCCGGCUCAACUGGGAGAGGUCGUUCGAAACUAGAUUGCUCGAGGAUGGUAGAGGUAAGUGGAAUUCUAGGUGUAGUGGUGAAAUGCGUAGAUAUCUAGAGGAACACCAGUGGCGAAGGCGGCUUACUGGGCCAUUCCUGACGCUGAGAUGCGAAAGCUAGGGGAGAGAACGGGAUUAGAAACCCCGGUAUUCCUAGCCGUAAACGAUGUCAACUAGGUGUAGGAGGUAUUGACCCCUUCUGUGCUGUAGCUAACGCGUUAAGUUGACCGCCUGGGGACUACAGCCGCAAGGCUAAAACUCAAUGAAUUUGACG